CCCGCUGAACUUAAGCAUAUCAAUAAGCGGAGGAAAAGAAACUAACAAGGAUUCCCCUAGUAACUGCGAGUGAAGCGGGAAGAGCUCAAAUUUUGAAUCUGGCGGUGUUUGGCCGUCCGAGUUGUAAUCUAGAGAAGCGUCUUCCGCGCUGGACCGUGUACAAGUCUCCUGGAAGGGAGCGUCAUAGAGGGUGAGAAUCCCGUCUUUGACACGGACUACCAGUGCUAUGUGAUGCGCUCUCGACGAGUCGAGUUGUUUGGGAAUGCAGCUCAAAAUGGGUGGUAAAUUCCAUCUAAAGCUAAAUAUUGGCGAGAGACCGAUAGCGAACAAGUACCGUGAGGGAAAGAUGAAAAGAACUUUGGAAAGAGAGUUAAACAGUACGUGAAAUUGCUGAAAGGGAAACGCUUGAAGUCAGUCACGUUGGCCAGGGAUCAACCUUGCUUUUGCUUGGUGUACUUUCUGGUUGAUGGGUCAGCAUCAAUUUUGACCAUUGGAAAAAGGUCAAGGGAAUGUGGCAUCUUCGGAUGUGUUAUAGCCCUUGGUUGCAUACAAUGGUUGGGAUUGAGGAACUCAGCACGCCGCAAGGCCGGGUUUUUAACCACGUACGUGCUUAGGAUGCUGGCAAAAUGGCUUUAAUCGACCCGUCUUGAAACACGG
rnacentral:rRNA from 1 species